CGCAGUAAGCGGCGUUGAAGCUCCGAUCCCGCGCAACGUAUUCCCGUGAACCAUGUCAGGCGGGGAACCGAGCAGCAUUAAGCGGGCCCAUACGUGUGCCGCGAGGUCACCGGGGCCGAGCCGGCUGCCGCGGUAACGGGCGUGUCGGCUGUUCGAUCGAGGGUGUGCAG
rnacentral:SRP_RNA from 1 species